UGGGAAUUUUGGACAAUGGGCGAAAGCCUGAUCCAGCAAUGCCGCGUGUGUGAAGAAGGCCUUCGGGUUGUAAAGCACUUUUGUCCGGAAAGAAAUCCUUGGCUCUAAUACAGUCGGGGGAUGACGGUACCGGAAGAAUAAGCACCGGCUAACUACGUGCCAGCAGCCGCGGUAAUACGUAGGGUGCAAGCGUUAAUCGGAAUUACUGGGCGUAAAGCGUGCGCAGGCGGUUUGCUAAGACCGAUGUGAAAUCCCCGGGCUCAACCUGGGAACUGCUUGGUGACUGGCAGGCUAGAGUAUGGCAGAGGGGGGUAGAAUUCCACGUGUAGCAGUGAAAUGCGUAGAGAUGUGGAGGAAUACCGAUGGCGAAGGCAGCCCCCUGGGCAAUACUGACGCUCAUGCACGAAAGCGUGGGGAGCAAACAGGAUUAGAU
rnacentral:rRNA from 1 species